GUGCAGCGACCUCAAAUUUAAAUCAUUAAAUUUGUCCAUUUUUCGAUCCUCACCACAGUUCUGACCAUGCGCGCUUACGCAAGCAUAAAUAAUUUUACCCGUCGACUCGCGUUGCGCGACAAAUAAUUAAGCUUAUGUACAGGUGUGGAUCAUGAGUCAUCCUCACCUGAAAAGCCCUUUAUUAAAUUUCGCCAAUUGUUAGGCAAUCAAAAAAAUGGUUAAGCUUUCAAUUAUGAAUGUGCGAUGUUAUUACACAGGGGAAAUUGAGGGUGUGGCUUAACCAAAUUCAUUGGCAUGUUUGUUCAAUGGAGAAUUCGACCUUCUCAUUAUUGACCAACAUUUUGAGAAUGUUUUAGGAACAUAAUUUUGAUAUUCCAAUAACAUAAUUUAAAGUUUCACGACAAUGGUUCGAACCCAUGACUUCCGAUUUUGAGGUGUACUCACUACACCAUACGGAAAGUCAUGAAGAAUUGCAGAGGUCUGCAUAAUUUAAUUCAUGAGGUUCAUCGAUGCUUCUCAUCGAAACGGACCACUUUUAGUAGAACAAAAUUUAGUAGAGUUUUCGGGGACUGACUAUAAAAACCCCAAAAUUCUUGAGGAGGGCAGUUAGUUCCAGUUAGUUCCAGUCAGUUCCAGCCAGUUCAAGCCCAGUCCAGUUCCAGAUCCUGAAGAAGCCCCAGACCAGCCGGACCCGCCAGCAGCCACCAGUAGCAGAGGCCCCAGUCCAGCCGGACUUAGCGGUGGAGGCCGCAGUCCGCCGGGACUUAGCCGCUGGGAAGAGUCCGCCGGGACUUAGCCGCUGUGAAGAGUCCGCCGGGACUUAGCCGCUGUGAAGAGUCCGCCGGGACUUAGCCGCUGUGAAGAGUCCGCCGGGACUUAGCCGCUGGGAAGAGUCCGCCGGGACUUAGCCGCCGUGGAGUCAACCAGGGACGUAGCAGAGUUCGGGUCUGGCAUGGCUCGGCGAAGAGGUCUGGAGGACAAGUCUGGCUUCAACGUAGAGAAUUGGCUCGACGAAGGUCUUAAUGAAAUUAGCAACAAAAAGUUGAGUGAUGUGAUCGUGCGCGUAAAAGUUGAGAGUGUUACCGCAAAAAAAUGUAAUCUUUAAAAAAAUGUAAUAUACAAAUAAGUGAAGUUUACUGAUCUGUUUUGGCUCUACAAGUAAAUAUCACAAAAAUCCUGAAAGCCUAAACCGCUCGGGCCGUUCAGGUGGUGACUAGCGGAAAGCAACGCUGUGUGUGUUUGGACACGCCAUUUUGAUUGGACAAAACCGAGAGUUGAAAAUGUGACUAUGUGUGAAAAUUAAUGAACAAAAUGAUUUCGCGAAGUAACAAACAGUUAAAAUAGUGUAAAAAAAAAACGUUAAAUUGAAGAAAAUGUUAUGUGAGGAGUUCUAAGAUGGAAGCAAAUAUGCAGAAGUACGAGAUGGAACCAAAACGGGCUCGACCAAUGGCAGAAGCAUCGAAAAUUUCAAAACCGGCCAACGAUGGACAACACUAGGGAUUCAACAAUGACGAGAUCAUCUGGAUCAACUGGAGACGAAAUUCGGCCGCAUCGGACACCCAAGAAGACGACCAUGGAAAUCUGGCAGUUUAGGAAUAUAUUUUCAGAUUUUUAUACGCUAAUACGAAGGAUUUACAGGAAACCAUUGGAAGACGAUCAAGAAGACAACAAUUUCAACAAGGACGAAUAUGAACUACAGCUCAAGGAAAGGUAAAAUUUGUGAGUAUAUCGUGGGGAAUCUAAAAAGAUCGAAAAGAACGGUAUAAGUUCCGAUCUAGGGAUACAUAAACUGAUAAAGCAACGCCAAAGGGGGAAAAAAAAGUAGACAAUUAUACUCUAUGGGGAGAGUUUUUAUGUCGAAUAAAGCUUCAAAACAGUUGUAAUCCAUGGGGGGAUUCAAUAUGUUAAUAACAUUUCAAAACAUUUGCACUUUACGGGGAUAGUCAAAUGAUAAUUAAAGGGAAUGGAUAAAUAAUGCUUCAAGGGAAAAUCAAGGGAUAAAUAAUGCUUCAAGGGAUUUUUAAGGGAUAAAAUAAUGCUUCAAGGGAAGAACACCUUUAAACUGAUAAAAUUCAGUGGGAAAAAAUCAGAAAAUUUCUACAUAGAUUAUUGAACCAAAUACUUUCGUGCUAAUUCAGAUUUAUUACGAAUUGCCCAAAUAAACGAAUUAAUUUAAUUGGUUUGACAAAUUUGAAAACACAAAGUGAUGUACAGAUUUCAUAAAAAGUUGGAAGAACAGAAAGGAUAUUUCAACAUGCGCAGUUUUGCAAUGAUAAGAUGAUAGGAUGUAUAGAUCAAUGAAAAACUUUAUAGAGUAAUUUUUUUUAUUCAGAUAUAAAAAUAAUAGUCAAUUAGAACUGUUUUUUUUAGUAUUAAAAAUAAUAGAACUGAUUUCAUAUAAAUAUCAACAAGAUUUAUAAGAUUGUAAGUAAAUUUGAAUUUCAAUUUUGCACAGAAAUUAAAUGAUAGAUUCCUGAAAAUUAUAAAAUAUUGUUCAUACGAAGAAAACAAGUUUUAAAUUUUUGUGGGAGAAACAAAACUAAAAACUGAAGCAAAAUAUGGCAGAGACGGGAGACGAAACACAAGGAUCGACGCGUUCGUAUGCGGAGAGGUUCUACGCGAUAGUAUGCAGAAGUUUGUGAUGGCAAGAUGGUGAGUGGCAAAGUCAAGCGAGAUGUUGGACAGGUAACGGUGUUGAUGUUGUCGUAAAAGGUCAUAUCAAUGAGGAUCAAGUCGAAUUAUGACACAAUUCUAGUAACGAGACACUCACGUAAAACAAAUUACCAAUCGAAAUGUGGAAUUAAGCGAAGCAAAGAUGAUUGAAAUGCGAAACAUCAAUUAUGCAACAAAAAUGCAAGUUGAGAUCAUACUGCACGUCUGAAACUAUUGAAAAGAAGAAGUUCAUGAUGAACAAAUGAUAACAUAAUCCGAUGUCAUUAAUUUACAAAAGCCAAAGUUGCAAAUUACACGAAAAGAUAAUUUUGGACAAACAACAUUUCCUAAACAUUUGGAAAAAGAAUUACAUCAACCGAUAUCAAUAAUUUGAGAUUGUCAAAGACACAAAGCAACUGGAAAAGUCAAUUUUGGACAAAAAUACUGGAUUUACGAACAAUUCACAAUACUCAGCAAGUGAAAAGUCAAUGCACUCUCAAAAUUGACCACAGUCAACUCACAGUUGAGUUAUGAAGCAUAAUUCAUGAUGGAAACGACAAUUGCACUAAUCGGCGAAAUUCAACACCUUAGCCUCGAAAACUGACAAAAUGACCAAGUCACUGCGGAAUGAAUAGCCUCACGAUAAAGACGAUUUUUGAUGGAAGACGACAACGAUAACAACCAGCCAAUCAACACAGUUCUACAACAGAUUUUGCUUACAGUGGGAAAAAUGCAAUGAUUUUUUUAGGAGAGAUAAUGAAAACUAUUUUCAAAUGCAAGUUUAUUUAAAUCGGUUUCAACGAAAAUAUGUUUACAAGAGAAGUUCAAAACAGCAAUUCAAGUCAUUUAACAGGACAGAAGAUCUAAAAAGUAAUGAAAAUAAUCUUACAAGAGAAAAAUCAAAAGAGCAAUUAUAAUUAUAGAACAAUUUACAAGAAAACACAAGAAGAACAAAUUGUAAACCGCGCGAUCACUACACCCGACAAUAUUCUUUCCAUAGAUGAUCAUUUCUUUCAGACGAUCAUCUAGCUGAUAAGUGUGGGGGAGAUUAACCGAACCAAUUUUUUUUAAAUCAGUUUUUUAUAGCCAGCCAUUUAUAUUUUUUAUGAUUUUUUGCAAAGUUUUUUUUUCACAAAUCAAAUUAUUAAUUUUGGGAAUAUUCUUCCAACCUACAAAUAACUUUCGAUAGAUGUUCUUAAUGCUUUUCAAGUAUACUAACAUCUAGCUGGUAAGUGUGGGGGAAUGCAGCGACCUCAAAUUUAAAUCAUUAAAUUUGUCCAUUUUUCGAUCCUCACCACAGUUCUGACCAUGCGCGCUUACGCAAGCAUAAAUAAUUUUACCCGUCGACUCGCGUUGCGCGACAAAUAAUUAAGCUUAUGUACAGGUGUGGAUCAUGAGUCAUCCUCACCUGAAAAGCCCUUUAUUAAAUUUCGCCAAUUGUUAGGCAAUCAAAAAAAUGGUUAAGCUUUCAAUUAUGAAUGUGCGAUGUUAUUACACAGGGGAAAUUGAGGGUGUGGCUUAACCAAAUUCAUUGGCAUGUUUGUUCAAUGGAGAAUUCGACCUUCUCAUUAUUGACCAACAUUUUGAGAAUGUUUUAGGAACAUAAUUUUGAUAUUCCAAUAACAUAAUUUAAAGUUUCACGACAAUGGUUCGAACCCAUGACUUCCGAUUUUGAGGUGUACUCACUACACCAUACGGAAAGUCAUGAAGAAUUGCAGAGGUCUGCAUAAUUUAAUUCAUGAGGUUCAUCGAUGCUUCUCAUCGAAACGGACCACUUUUAGUAGAACAAAAUUUAGUAGAGUUUUCGGGGACUGACUAUAAAAACCCCAAAAUUCUUGAGGAGGGCAGUUAGUUCCAGUUAGUUCCAGUCAGUUCCAGCCAGUUCAAGCCCAGUCCAGUUCCAGAUCCUGAAGAAGCCCCAGACCAGCCGGACCCGCCAGCAGCCACCAGUAGCAGAGGCCCCAGUCCAGCCGGACUUAGCGGUGGAGGCCGCAGUCCGCCGGGACUUAGCCGCUGGGAAGAGUCCGCCGGGACUUAGCCGCUGUGAAGAGUCCGCCGGGACUUAGCCGCUGUGAAGAGUCCGCCGGGACUUAGCCGCUGUGAAGAGUCCGCCGGGACUUAGCCGCUGGGAAGAGUCCGCCGGGACUUAGCCGCCGUGGAGUCAACCAGGGACGUAGCAGAGUUCGGGUCUGGCAUGGCUCGGCGAAGAGGUCUGGAGGACAAGUCUGGCUUCAACGUAGAGAAUUGGCUCGACGAAGGUCUUAAUGAAAUUAGCAACAAAAAGUAGAGUGAUGUGAUCGUGCGCGUAAAAGUUGAGAGUGUUACCGCAAAAAAAUGUAAUCUUUAAAAAAAUGUAAUAUACAAAUAAGUGAAGUUUA